UUUUGUUUGUUACAGAGAAUACAUCUUCUGUGGGGUGAGAACGAUCAGAUUUCACGUACGAUCUCGCUCAGAACAUGAAAGAGGAGCUAGGAGAUAAAGCUACAGUCGAGGGGAUAAAGAAAGCCGGCCACCUCGUUCAUCUCGAACGACCCUGCGUAUACAACAGAUGUCUCAAGAAGUUCCUUAUCUCCUUGCACACAACAAACGAACCUAGAAAAUAAAUUAAGUUGUGUUUUGUAAUAUUCAGAUGAUUUUAUUCGCAGAUUUUAUCGUGAGCGAGAAUUUUCGAUGUAUUUUUCUUUUGUUUUUUUUUUUUUUUUAAAUUCAAUAUUAUGUGCGAUUCUCGAUACAUAAUGAUGGCCUUGGAUAUUUGAUUAACCAAGGAUUUUAUGACAUUUUGCUGAGGCAGCUAGCAAUAUAUGUACUGGCAAUAGUAAAAAAAAAAUGUUUCGGGA